rnacentral:rRNA from 1 species
AUGAACGCUGGCGGCGUGCCUAAUACAUGCCAGUCGAGCGAACGGACGAGAAGCUUUCUUCUCUGAUGUUAGCGGCGGACGGGUGAGUAACACGUGGAUAACCUACCUAUAAGACUGGGAUAACUUCGGGAAACCGGAGCUAAUACCGGAUAAUAUUUUGAACCGCAUGGUUCAAAAGUUAAAGACGGUCUUGCUGUCACUUAUAGAUGGAUCCGCGCUGCAUUAGCUAGUUGGUAAGGUAACGGCUUACCAAGGCAACGAUGCAUAGCCGACCUGAGAGGGUGAUCGGCCACACUGGAACUGAGACACGGUCCAGAGGCCUACGGGAGGCAGCAGUAGGGAAUCUUCCGCAAUGGGCGAAAGCCUGACGGAGCAACGCCGCGUGAGAGAUGAAGGUCUUCGGAUCGUAAAACUCUGUUAUUAGGGAAGAACAUAUGUGUAAGUAACUGUGCACAUCUUGACGGUACCUAAUCAGAAAGCCACGGCUAACUACGUG